GAAGAAAUGGUAAAUUCAAUGAAAAUAAAGCAGGUGAAUGUUUUAAUUAGCUUAUUUUGUUUGGACAUAUAAAAUAAGUUAAUCCAAAUUAAAACUAAAUUAGUGUUUAUGAAUUGUGUUAAAAGACAAAACACUGUCCAUGAAUUCACGACAACUUUAGGUGUUCAAGUGUUGCUUAUAAAAUCAAAGAGGGAAAAUAAUGAAAAUAGAUUAGCAAUAUUUUCACGAUGGAGAAACUGUAAGCCAUACUAAUUUAUCAUUUCUUCCAACAUAAGUAAAAUAUUACCUUAAUUUUAUCUAAUAUUUUAUCAUUAUUCUUUUAUUCAGAACAGUACUUGACAGCAAAAAGAAUCACUUAUUUGCUGCCAGUAGAUAGUAGAUACACCAUUAAGCAAC
rnacentral:lncRNA from 1 species